rnacentral:rRNA from 1 species
GACGAACGCUGGCGGCGUGCUUAACACAUGCAAGUCGAACGGAAAGGCCCUGCUUUUGUGGGGUGCUCGAGUGGCGAACGGGUGAGUAACACGUGAGUAACCUGCCCUUGACUUUGGGAUAACUUCAGGAAACUGGGGCUAAUACCGGAUAGGAGCUCCUGCUGCAUGGUGGGGGUUGGAAAGUUUCGGCGGUUGGGGAUGGACUCGGGGCGUAUCAGCUUGUUGGUGGGGUUGUGGCGUACCAAGCCUUUGACGGGUACCCGACGUGAGAGGGUGAUCGGCGGCCUGGGAGCGGGGACGCGGACAAUAGGACUGAGGGAGGGACCAGACUGCAACGUGAGGCAGUAGGGGGAAACAUGGCAGAGUGGGCGGGAGCCUGAUACAAAAACGCCGGGUGCGGGAUGACGGCUUUCGGGUUGUGAACAGCUUUCGACGGAGACGAAGCGUGAGUGACGGUAAUGGGUCAAGAAGCACCGGCUAACUACGUG